rnacentral:lncRNA from 12 species
AUUUGUUUUAUCGCAUUUCAACGAUUACAGUAUAUCACUCCUCCUUCUGUGACUGAGCACAAUGCAUAGUUAUUGAUGCCUAACCAGAGGGAUCCAGAACAGACACAGUGAUAAACUGGAAUCAAAUCCUGUGCUCUAGAAAUUUGAAUCCUAGAAAAGAAACAUAAGAAGAAAGAGAAGAAAACAUAAAGGCAAAUGAACACAUAUUUCGCAAAGCUUCUCAGAAAUAGUCUCAGAGGUAAAACAGCUGAGGUAUGUCACCAGCUAAGAGAAGAAAAAUCAUGCCUGGUAAAGCAGAGUCACACAUCCAAUUCUGGCAUUGGAAAAACAAAUCAAACUUCAGUCAUACUCUGGGUGAGUCAGUCUCAUUAUUUUCACAUUUUUAGGUCAACAGCAUAAAUUAUGUAAAGUGACAGUUUACACAGUGAGCACGUCUGUGUGUCCAAUUUGUUACCAAUAUUAGCCUUGCAAUCUAUGGACAAGGAGACCUCAACUUAAAUUCAAAUUCAUGGAUGCAGUUGCUAAAUGGAAGGAGAUAACCUAUGAGAUUUACAGAAUCUAUCAUUUCGGCAUCCCCUUCCCUAUUUUUUAGAUUACUCGUGUAUAUAAGUUUGUAGGCUUUAGCACAUUUUUAGUUUACCAUAAAUUGCUCUAAAUUCUAAAAACUAUAUUGUUCACAUUGGAAAGAGAAAUGUUUCUUAAAUUGAGUAGAUGUGUCAAGCAAUGGGAUCCAGAGCAUUUGCAAAUACCCACAAGAGAAGUUAACGGGGAGAAAAAACACAAUUUUUAGAUUGUUAUUAUUGUUUGAGCUAAACACUAAAUGAUGGUUUCAUAAAUCCUGGUUAUUCAAUAAUCCUAGUUAUUCCUGGCUUUUAUCAGCAAACUGGUUAAUGUAAGUGGAACAGAC